AUCGACGGCAGUGUUUGGCACCUCGAUGUCGGCUCAUCUCAUCCUGGGGCUGGAGCAGGUCCCAAGGGUACGGCUGUUCGCCGUUUAAAGAGGUACGUGAGCUGGGUUUAGAACGUCGUGAGACAGUUCGGUCCCUAUCUGCCGUGGGUGUAGGAUACUUGAGAGGAGUUGCCCCUAGUACGAGAGGACCGGGGUGAACGAUCCACUGGUGUACCAGUUGUUCCGCCAGGAGCAGUGCUGGGUAGCUAUGAUCGGACAGGAUAACCGCUGAAGGCAUCUAAGCGGGAAGCCCCCCUCAAAACAAGGUAUCCCUGAGGACCGAGGUAGACCACCUCGUCGAUAGGCCAGAGAUGUAAGUGCAGCAAUGCAUUCAGUUGACUGGUACUAAUUGUCCGAUAGGCUUGAU
rnacentral:rRNA from 1 species